GACGAACGCUGGCGGCGUGCCUAAUACAUGCAAGUCGAGCGGACAUCUUCGGAUGUUAGCGGCGGACGGGUGAGUAACACGUGGGCAAUCUGCCUGACAGACUGGAAUAACGCCUGGAAACGGGUGCUAAUGCCAGAUAGCGCAGCAGGUAGGCAUCUACCAGCUGGGAAAGGUGCUUCGGCAUCACUGUCAGAGGAGCCCGCGGCGCAUUAGCUAGUUGGUGAGGUAACGGCCCACCAAGGCGACGAUGCGUAGCCGACCUGAGAGGGUGACCGGCCACACUGGGACUGAGACACGGCCCAGACUCCUACGGGAGGCAGCAGUAGGGAAUCUUCCGCAAUGGGCGAAAGCCUGACGGAGCAACGCCGCGUGAGCGAAGAAGGCCUUCGGGUUGUAAAGCUCAGUCACCCGGGAAGAGCGAAUCGGAGAGGGAAUGCUCCGAUUGAGACGGUACCGGGAGAGGAAGCCCCGGCUAACUACGUGCCAGCAGCCGCCGUAACAC
rnacentral:rRNA from 1 species